GCUGGCGGCAGGCCUAACACAUGCAAGUCCGAGCGGUAGAGAGAAGCUUGCUUCUCUUGAGAGCGGCGGACGGGUGAGUAAUGCCUAGGAAUCUGCCUGGUAGUGGGGGAUAACGUUCGGAAACGGACGCUAAUACCGCAUACGUCCUACGGGAGAAAGCAGGGGACCUUCGGGCCUUGCGCUAUCAGAUGAGCCUAGGUCGGAUUAGCUAGUUGGUGAGGUAAUGG
rnacentral:rRNA from 1 species